UACGUAGGUGGCGAGCGUUGUCCGGAUUUACUGGGCGUAAAGAGCGCGCAGGCGGUCGUUCAAGUCGCGUGUGAAAGCCCCCGGCUCAACUGGGGAGGGUCACGCGAUACUGAUCGACUCGAAGGCAGGAGAGGGUAGUGGAAUUCCCGGUGUAGUGGUGAAAUGCGUAGAUAUCGGGAGGAACACCAGUGGCGAAGGCGACUACCUGGCCUGUUCUUGACGCUGAGGCGCGAAAGCUAGGGGAGCGAACAGG
rnacentral:rRNA from 1 species